CAAAUGGGAUGAGCCCAAAUAAAUGGUUAAAGUUUAGAAUGCUGUGUUUUAAAUCUAAUUUAGAAUUAGAAUGCACCUGUAACAGCUCAAAAGUUGGAUUAAUAGCAUCCAUCUUUUAAAAAGUGUGUAGUAUCUUAUGAGC
rnacentral:rRNA from 1 species